rnacentral:rRNA from 1 species
UAGAUACCCUGGUAGUCCACGCUGUAAACGAUGUCGAUUUGGGGGUUGAACUUUAAGUUUGGCGCCCGUAGCUAACGUGAUAAAUCGACCGCCUGGGGAGUACGGCCGCAAGGUUAAAACUCAAAUGAAUUGACGGGGGCCCGCACAAGCGGUGGAGCAUGUGGUUUAAUUCGAUGCAACGCGAAGAACCUUACCUACUCUUGACAUCCAGAGAACAUUCCAGAGAUGGAUUGGUGCCUUCGGGAACUCU